CCAUAAUGGCUCUGAAUUCACUAAAUAUUUCAGGCAAGCUUUGAAUCUGAUGAACACACACACACACACACACACACACACACACACACACACACACACACACGCUUCUCUCAAGUAGUUGGGAUUUCAGCCUGCAUCACUAGGCUCAGCUGUAAUACACUCUGUAGUAUGAACUAUUCGUGAGAGUUCCCAACAAGGAGGCCCAGAAAAUGUUACAAAUGGCCAAAGCCUGAAGACACUGUUCUUCAUAACUGAGUCAGCCUUAUCAAUCCUCAACCUGCUCAGGGAUAACCGGGUCACCAGCUUGGCUCUCCCCACUGCCCAGGAUACACUGGUAUACACUCUAGCCCUGGGAGCACGUGCCAAUGUAGGGAAGACAGAGUAAACCGGAAAGCAGCAGAGCCUUGAAGGAAAGAGCAGUUGGAUUUUGGAAACCGCAGGGAGAAAACGACCGUUAAAAGGUAUACCUAUUUAUGUUAGUUCAUUCUGGUUUGGUGUUCUGGCCGUUUUCCUUAAUGAUUGUGCCACAGGGAACAUUCUCUGACAUGAGAUCCUGAAAGGGGAAAUCCCUGGUUCUUGAUUCAACCUUUCGUUCCAUACAGCAGUGGCACUAAAGGGAUGUUUUCAGGCGAGAAACAGCAGCAUAUAGGAAUGUGUUAGGAAUAAAAUUCCCAGGCUCUAACGUAGACUUACCAAGUCAAAUCUUUGUGGCGGAGCCCGGCAAUGCUUUUAACAGUCCUAGUGAGUCCAAUGCAUGAGAGCCCUUGCUCCAAGAUGUUUGAUGUUUGAAAACCCCAAAUAAGAAGCAUGUACAGUCUAAUUCAAAUGAUAGCAUUUCAAAGUCACUUUUCUCGUACUUAGGUUUCUGGGAGUUCACAGUGAAAAUAUGUGCUUUGGGGUGGAAGUCAGGGAAGCUCUGCAGCUUCCUGUUUGAGUGCAGCCUCUAGUAGGAGACGUCCCGCCUCUGAAACUUCAACCUGGCAAACUACCGGGCUUCAAGGGGGGAAUCAUGUUGGAGGUCUCAUCCAAAUUGCUGUUCCGAAGGAUUCUUUUUCUGAUUAUAGUGUAAGAAGAGUAAAAUAAAAAUCUAAUUUGCAUUUCUAUGAUGAAAUGUUCUCCUGGC
rnacentral:lncRNA from 1 species